rnacentral:lncRNA from 1 species
AGAUGACCUCUGUGUGAAGAGUUUGCCUCCUGAGGAACUACGAACACCUUUAGUGGGAUUGUAGAGAGAGGAGUUUGUGUGCUUAACUGAAGACGUUUUGUCUGUAUGUCAGAGGAUCUAGCAAAACAGUUGGCCAGCUACAAAGCUCAACUCCAGCAAGUAGAAGCUGCUCUAUCGGGAAAUGGAGAAAAUGAAGAUCUGCUGAAACUGAAGAAGGAUUUGCAAGAAGUCAUAGAACUGACCAAAGACCUUCUGUCAACUCAGCCUUCGGAAACUCUCACAAGUUCAGACAGCUUUGCUUCUACUCAGCCCACUCAUUCAUGGAAAGUAGGGGACAAGUGCAUGGCCGUCUGGAGUGAAGAUGGACACCAUGAUAUCUUUACAGGUGUUAUGAGGCGGAGAUCGAGGAGAUCGAUGAAGAGAACGGCACCGCUGCGAUCACCUUCGCUGUCUAUGGCAAUGCCGAAGUGACUCCAUUGUUGAACCUCAAGCCUGUAGAGGAAGGAAGGAAAGCAAAAGAGGACAGCGGCAACAAACCCAUGUCAAAAAAAGAAAUGAUUGCCCAGCAGCGUGAAUAUAAAAAG